UGUGUUUGUAUGCAAAUGUACAGUAUUUUCAUAUUGGUGUACUUAUCCAUUCUUCUUAUCUCUUUUGACAUGUUGCCAAGGAGGCCCUCGACAUAAAAAUACUGGAGGCCAUUGUUGGGAAAAUGGCAAGCGGUUUCUUCAAGCUGUUGUCCUCUCGGAAGUGCAACAUAGGACUCCUGUCUCUUAGUGGAUUCAGAGUUCCCUGAUUUACUCAAACACAACAACUGCAAGGCCAGUCACAUCAUACCUUCCCUUGCCUAUGGACAAUGUUAUCCAGACAGGAUUGGACAACCCUGGGCACCCCUUCAUAAAGACUGUUGGCAUGGUAGCCGGAGACGAGGAGUCCUAUCGGGAUGGAUCACAACGGACUGUGUGGUCCGUGUCUUUUCACAGUGAAUUGUUAUGCCUACUACCUAUCUUGCUGGAACUUCAGUGCAUUUAAAAAAAAAUCUAAUGGCGGUCACUGUGAAAAAGAUAUUCUAAAGCUACUACAGAUAUUGGAGUGUCACCCAUUCCUUAUAAAUGUGUUAUACAGAUAAAACCUAGAUGAAAGGGGA
ensembl:lncRNA